GUUCCAGAUUUGCCUUGCCGCUGCGUUGCUGAACUCUUCGCUGAUGCUGCCCCGCGGCGGGGGGCGGCGGAGUCCCGGGGAGUUGGGGGCGCUGCCUGGGUGGACGCCGGCCGGGGAGCCCGAGGCUUCGAGGAGGAGGAGGAGGAGGAGGCGAGCCAGCCGCCUCGCUCAAACCCCGUGCCGCGCGCGGGCGGGGGGGCAUAUCGGUCGCGCCGCGGGUGGAGCCGCCGCGCGGUCGCGAGAACGGCAAGGAUAUCUUGGUGAUUUAGUUGUCCUUACCAGUUUCAUCAAGAAUACCAUCCUCUAUCAGUUUAGGAAGGUUCAUCCUGAGUGCAAAGAUAGCUGCGGAGUAAGUUGAGAACAAGGCAAUACGGACACCCAUUGUGGUAGCCAGUUCUAGUGCCCAGCUCAUGGAUACAUCUACUAUUACCCACUUUAUCUUUUCGGAUCUAAUCAUCUUCUCCAGGGGGCUGAGCAUAGCGUCUGGUAAGACCUGAACCAACUUGCCGAUGUCUGUGUGGUCAUCAGCAGGGUCCAAUCCAUCUGGAAUGGAGAGCAUGCGAAUUCCACCAGGGAUUGCUCCUUUCUCUGCCAAGGCCUUGAGGACACGGUCGUGGUUGAACUCAGUGUUUACGAAGUCAAUCUUGAAGCCUUGAUCAGCAAGCCUAUGAGAUAACUCCAUGAGUGGGAUGACAUGGCCUUGUGCAGGGAACGGUAGCACCAUGACAUGAGGUUGAGUAGCAGCGGCCAUGGAAGUUGUCUUCUUAGAAUUGUCUAUGUCUACAAGAAGCUUGUGAGGUGUAAAACUGGAACUUCCUGAGGAUAUAUAUAGCCUGAUAUGUUCAACAGCUGUGUACGCCAAGGGUCACCUGGCCAUUCCUAUUUCAUCAGCAAACAUGAAUGGUGCAUCCUGCGAUGGAGCCAUACUGCCAUGAAGGCUUUUAUGGACGGUAUGCUAACAGAUUAUUCACAUGACGUGGCAUCGACCUCGUUGAACAAUCUCGGCAAUUUUGAUUCGCCAUGAUACUCCAGACUGCCAGCUGAAAGGUGACAUUUUAGGUAAUUUACUAGGUAUAAAGUGGUCACAUUUGAGAGCGAGUGCAAAAAUCCCACCAGUUUUCUUUGGUGCUGCAUUUGUUCAGGUAAGUUAUUCACCUAUGCAUUACCCAAUUUGUUACUGCAAGAGGAGCAGUUUUAUCAUGGAAUAUGCUGCUGAGUCUAAAAUAUGCAUGUUGAUCUAUAUGUAUACCCGCAUGCUCCUCCACAUGUUUCUGAUCUAUAAAGCUGUCCCUUGGUCCACCAUAGACGAGUUGUCUCUACUUAAAACUUUGGCUGAACUUGAUUCCCAUCUUCAGUUCUAGAAUUGGGUUCCAUUUCUAAUAAAAAAAAUGAACUCAGCCCUACAUGGCUUGGUAUAAAUGGCAGCAUUCGACAUUUAUUUGCUAAUAAUAUCACACGAUUCCUAGCUGGAG